GAUGAACGCUGGCGGCGUGCCUAAUACAUGCAAGUCGAGCGAACAGACGAGGACCUUGCUCCUCUGACGUUAGCGGCGGACGUGUGAGUAACACGUGGAUAACCUACCUAUAAGACUGGGAUAACUUCGGGACACCGGAGCUAAUACCGUAUAAUAUAUUGAACCGCAUGGUUCAAUAGUGAAAGACGGUUUUGCUGUCACUUAUAGAUGGAUCCGCGCCGCAUUAGCUAGUUGGUAAGGUAACGGCUUACCAAGGCAACGAUGCGUAGCCGACCUGAGAGGGUGAACGGCCAGACUGGAACUGAGACACGGUCCAGACUCCUACGGGAGGCAGCAGUAGGGAAUCUUACGCGAUGGGCGAAAGCUUGACGGAGCAACGCCGCGUGAGUGAUGAAGGUCUUCGGAUCGUAAAACUCUGUUAUUAGGGAAGAACAAAUGUGUAAGUAACUAUGCACGUCUUGACGGUACCUAAUCAGAAAGCCACGGCUAACUACGUG
rnacentral:rRNA from 1 species